rnacentral:lncRNA from 1 species
AUAGAAUUGGUUCAUCACGAUUGUUCGGAAGGAUUAUUGAUCGACAAUCGAUCAACACUCAUUCAUAAAUUCACAUGCGAGAACUGGAAUCACAUAAUUCUAGCCUCUGAUUAGUAAGUGCAUGCGAGAGCUGGUUUACUUGCUUAUAGUAAUUUGAGUUCUAGGAUCAACCCUUAGCAUCUAUAGAUUGUAGUUCUGAUAGGCUGAAUGAAAUCCUAGGUCUUGCACCCUCCUUACAUCACAAACAAACCCUCUAUUAUGUACUUUCUUGUUGUUUAUUGGUUUCUAUUACUUAACCUAGCUUGAUCUGAAACUCAAGCCUAUUGUGUGAGAUAUCGAGUCUCUGUGGAUACGAUCCAAGUACUGCAAUC